GUGGGGAAUCUUCCGCAAUGGACGAAAGUCUGACGGAGCAACGCCGCGUGAGUGAUGAAGGUCUUCGGAUUGUAAAGCUCUGUUAAUCGGGACGAAAGAGCCUAGUGUGAAUAAUGCUAGGAAGUGACGGUACCGGAAUAGAAAGCCACGGCUAACUACGUGCCAGCAGCCGCGGUAAUACGUAGGUGACAAGCGUUGUCCGGAAUUAUUGGGCGUAAAGCGCGCGCAGGCGGAUCUGCCAGUCUGUCUUAAAAGUUCGGGGCUUAACCCCGUGAUGGGAUGGAAACUACAGAUCUAGAGUAUCGGAGAGGAAAGUGGAAUUCCUAGUGUAGCGGUGAAAUGCGUAGAUAUUAGGAAGAACACCAGUGGCGAAGGCGACUUUCUGGACGAAAACUGACGCUGAGGCGCGAAAGCCAGGGGAGCGAACGGGAUUAGAUACCCCUGUAGUCC
rnacentral:rRNA from 1 species